CUACCUUGCUAUGACUUUUGAGAUGUUACUCAGAUGGGUUAGUCGAAACUAAUUAAACCUAACAAAAGCAGUUAAAAACCUAUUUAAAUUAUAAUCAAAUUAUAAAUUAAAGAAUAACUACACUAACUAUUCAAAUAAAUGAAUAAUCAAAUCAAUUUUCUUUUCAUUUAUUAUUUUAACCUCCUAUUUCUAAAAAUUUAAGAACGGCCGAGGCCGGAGGCAGAGGCUGAUUUUUCUUCUUCUUCUGCGAAGAAGAAGAAGAUUUAUUUAGUUUAUUUAAUAAUUGCUAUUGCCUUUGUCCGCAUUUGUUUUUGCCCUUAAGCAAUUGCAAAGUAGGAAUAGGCAAAGAAAUUAAAGUAAAAUAUAAAAAAUAAAAGACUCUUACUACAAAUACCUACCAAAGGUAGGCAAAAUAUUAGUAAAAAAAUAAAUAAAGAAAUAGAUAACUAGAUAAUAAACCAAUAUUUUUAUUAUUUAGAAUGUUUUACAUUUGUUAAAGAUAGACUUCGCGGCGCUUUCCCCCAAGCUGAACUUCUCCCCAGCGACAGACGGUU
rnacentral:rRNA from 1 species